rnacentral:antisense_RNA from 1 species
AGUGGGAAGAAAUCAAUACCUUCUCUUGGCUUUUCUGAUGCUGUUGCUGUAGAAAGUACAGUUGUUUCGCCAUACUGAAUAAAUGCUGCACCAUUUGCCUGUGCUGCCACACGACCUACGUCAACACGCAAAGUUCUGCCGGCCAGUUCCAUUGUAAAUGUCUUUGUCAUUUCAUAUCUCCUUAUUCUUUUAUUGUUAAGACAGGAACCCGAAACUACUGAUAAAGCUCUAUUGACACAGGGACUUAUCAGUGGUCUCGGAUACUUCAGCUGUCAUUUAACCAAACAUU